AGCACCAAUUGAUUUAUAAUUGCACUGAAAAGUGAAACUUUCAUAUUUUCUGCAUUUGUUUUCCGCAGGAGAAAGAAAGAUGGGUUUGGAAUGACAUGAGGAGAAAAUAAAGUCAAACGGGUUUGGAAACGACGUGAGGUGGCCUCUACAGAUGUCAGGGAAAACACAGGGUUAUGAAGAAACCGUAGGAGGAACAAUGGCUCGAAAAAGGACACCCAUCCUCCUCUGCUCGACUUGAUAAGGCUGUUGUAAAGCAUGAGACAGAAAUGGCAGCCCUCGCUAAAAGUGGCAUUUGGUGUGAAGAUAAGACUCAUUACAACCAUCCUUUGAUCAUACUGCAUUUUACAGAAGAACAAAAAGUAUGUGUACAUACUCAUAACAUGGUCUCCAUCUUUCUUUGAGGAACUCAGUUUGUCCUUCUGCACAGUUUUUGGCAAGAAAAAGCCAUCUGAAGGCAUGAAUGUAAAUAGAGCAUCGGUCUGUGGUUUAUGACAGAGAACCUACGCAACAAACAACAAAAGGUCUACGUAUUACAGCAAAAGCCUACGCUAAAAGGAAAUCGCACACUUUUACGCAGAGAUGUUUAUUUGUGUUGCCAUUGUGGGCCGCUCUGUGCCUCACCACUGAACUACAGGCCUGAGAGGAAGUUUCCAGUGCGGUUACCAUGACGAGGGUCUUGGAGUCCAGGAAAUUCAGAUAGGAAGUUUUAAAGUAAUUUUCAGUGCUAAGAGAAAUGACAUCCAAGAGGGACACAGACAAACAUUUGUCCAGAUGAGCUGCGGUAACAGGAUUGUGUUUGGACAGGAGCUUCUCUCCGCAGGGAACAAGCUUUAGGAACAAGCUGAAGAAAUUGAGAAAUAUAUGCCGGCGGUUAUUCUGAAAACGUCUGUUUUCCACUGGAAUGAAGCUUUUACAGCCCCCUCGGUUGGAGAGAGAGAGGGAUGGAAUGAGAAAGAGAGCGAGUGAAACAGUGAAUCAUGAGUGCAGCUUUGAACAACAAGGGGAAAUCCUCCUAUUGAGAAGGCAUGCGCUGUGGAAACAUGCAUCACUCAUAGAGAUUUCACAGAGCUUUUCUCAAGGCUUCCAUCUUCAGGCUUGUUGGUUAGUCACAGUCCACACAUGCUGGAGAAUGCUGGAAUUACACCAAAACAAGGGCAGAGCGUCUUGUGUAAGCAGUUUUUCCUUGAGUGAACUCCUGCAGAAUAAAUAGUCAUACAGCAUGAGGCAUUCUUGGGGGAAGUGAUUAAAGCCUGAGAAGGGGGUUGGAAGGGGCAGAACAAUUACCCUGAAGAGGCGUUGGGCCAGACCCCUGCAGGUGGAGCUGACAGGGCGAGACCUCGGGCUGUCACAAGCUAUUAGCUAGGCAGAGACGGCCAGAGAACACACACUCAGAUGGAGCAACUAUACGAAGAAUAGCUUUUUUCUGCUGGUCUAGACUAUGUUCAGCAUACUACUUGUACUGUUUCUUUUGUGUAUUGUUGUAAGUGCAGUAUGGACUACAUUCUGCAUGCAUACUAUAUUCACCAGGCUAUACAGCAAAUGAUUGUGAAGUGCAAUAUAGGGCCACAGACUUUAAUCGCUCAGUCUUCUCUAUAAGAGUUGUCACUUGUCAGUAUUUGGAACACACUACAAAAUAACAUUAGACAGUGUUCCACCUUUGCUUAAUUUAAGUUAUGACUAAAAAUAUGACUAAAGACGAGCCAAA